AUACUCCCGCCGCCGGGUGGGAGGAAAUGAGCGUUUGCUUCGUAUCGAUAGGCCUUAGAAGAUACGAAUGCAGACGUAUUUUUUUAU
rnacentral:ncRNA from 1 species